GUGGGGAAUCUUCCGCAAUGGACGAAAGUCUGACGGAGCAACGCCGCGUGAGUGAAGAAGGUUUUCGGAUCGUAAAGCUCUUUCGUUAGGGACGAACGUGCUCUUUGUGAAUAAUGAGGAGUAAUGACGGUACCUAAAUAAGAAGCCACGGCUAACUACGUGCCAGCAGCCGCGGUAAUACGUAGGUGGCAAGCGUUGUCCGGAAUUAUUGGGCGUAAAGCGCGCGCAGGCGGGAUAUCAAGUCUGUCUUAAAAGUGCGAGGCUCAACCUCGUGAGGGGACAGAAACUGGUAUUCUUGAGUGUCGGAGAGGAAAGUGGAAUUCCAAGUGUAGCGGUGAAAUGCGUAGAGAUUUGGAAGAACACCAGUGGCGAAGGCGACUUUCUGGACGAUGUCUGACGCUGAGGCGCGAAAGCUAGGGGAGCGAACGGGAUUAGAUACCCGAGUAGUCC
rnacentral:rRNA from 1 species